GAUGAACGCUGGCGGCGCGCCUAACACAUGCAAGUCGAACGAUUAAAGCACCUUCGGGUGUGUAUAAAGUGGCGAACGGCUGAGUAACACGUGGGCAACCUGCCCCUUUCAUUGGGAUAGCCACGGGAAACCGUGGAUAAUACCGAAUACUUCGAGACUUCCGCAUGGAAGACUCGAGAAAGCUCCGGCGGGGAGGGAUGGGCCCGCGGCCUGUUAGCUUGUUGGUGGGGUAACGGCCUACCAAGGCAAUGACGGGUAGCUGGGUUGAGAGACCGACCAGCCAGCUUGGGACUGAGACACGGCCCAGACUCCUACGGGAGGCAGCAGUGGGGAAUCUUGCACAAUGGGCGAAAGCCUGAUGCAGCGACGCCGCGUGCGGGAUGAAGGCCUUCGGGUUGUAAACCGCUUUCAGCAGGGACGAGGCGAAAGUGACGGUACCUGCAGAAGAAGCCCCGGCUAACUACGUG
rnacentral:rRNA from 1 species